AUGUCCAGGUACUACCCACCUCCCCCUCCCCUCUUCCUUCCGAUGAGUCCAUGGCUGACAGCGGCACCGUCUCCGAGCUCACGAACACCUGGAUUUGACAGGGAGCAGCACAGGGAUGGCGAAUUUGGCCGCUCUGCUCUGAUGAUGCCGUUAGAGCACAACUUGCUCGUUCUCAGCAUGAGGAAGAAGAUGAUUUAA
rnacentral:rRNA from 1 species